rnacentral:rRNA from 1 species
GACGAACGCUGGCGGCGUGCUUAACACAUGCAAGUCGAACGGAAGGGCCCUGCUUUUGUGGGGUGCUCGAGUGGCGAACGGGUGAGUAACACGUGAGUAACCUGCCCUUGACUUUGGGAUAACUUCAGGAAACUGGGGCUAAUACCGGAUAGGAGCUCCUGCUGCAUGGUGGGGGUUGGAAAGUUUCGGCGGGUGGGGAUGGACUCGCGGCUUAUCGGCUUGUUGGUGGGGUAGUGGCUUACCAAGGCUUUGACGGGUAGCCGGCCUGAGAGGGUGACCGGCCACAUUGGGACUGAGAUACGGCCCAGACUCCUACGGGAGGCAGCAGUGGGGAAUAUUGCACAAUGAGCGGAAGCCUGAUGCAGCAGCGCCGCGUGCGGGAUGACGGCCUUCGGGUUAUAAACCGCUUUCGCCUGUGACGAAGCGUGAGUGACGGUAAUGGGUAAAGAAGCACCGGCUAACUACGUG